rnacentral:rRNA from 1 species
UUUAAAGUAAAUACUCUAAAGCACCCAAUUCUGUCUGAUCUUGGUAGCUAAGGAUGGUCAGCCCUGGUUAGUAUUUGGAUGGAAGACUGCCAACCAAUACCAGGGUUCUUAUAUU